AAAAGGUUGUGUGAAAAUCUUGGAAAAAUCAGUGAAACGGCUAUGGCAGUUGGAAUUACAACAAAUCCAGAAGAACUACAGAUAGUGAUUCAUAGAUUUGCUUCAGUUCAAUGCAGAAGUCCAUCAUCUGAUCUAUUACAGAAUACAAGGGAUUAUGUGAACAAAUGUGCUCCCAUUUACAACCUUGCAAUUAAAGGGGACUGGAAAGAAGCAAGAGCCAUGUUAAUGGAAGAUAGCAGGUUGGCUACUGCUGCCAUCUCACAAGGAUGGGCCACACUGCUUCACGUAGCAGCAGAAGCAAAUCACUUGCAUUUCGUAGAGGAGCUGGUGAAACAACUCCACCCAAAUGACUUGGAACUACAAGACUUCAAAGGCA
rnacentral:sRNA from 1 species